AGAUUGAACGCUGGCGGCAGGCCUAACACAUGCAGGUCGAGCGGUAGAGAGGUGCUUGCAUCUCUUGAGAGCGGCGGACGGGUGAGUAAUGCCUAGGAAUCUGCCUAGUGGUGGGGGAUAACGUUCGGAAACGGACGCUAAUACCGCAUACGUCCUACGGGAGAAAGCGGGGGACCUUCGGGCCUCGCGCCAUUAGAUGAGCCUAGGUCGGAUUAGCUAGUUGGUGAGGUAAUGGCUCACCAAGGCGACGAUCCGUAACUGGUCUGAGAGGAUGAUCAGUCACACUGGAACUGAGACACGGUCCAGACUCCUACGGGAGGCAGCAGUGGGGAAUAUUGGACAAUGGGCGAAAGCCUGAUCCAGCCAUGCCGCGUGUGUGAAGAAGCCGUUCGGUGUAAAGCGACUUUAAGGUUAGGAAAGAAAAACGUACGACUACUAACACAGUAGAGUCUUAGACGUACCGACAGAAUAAGACACCGCUAACUCUGUG
rnacentral:rRNA from 1 species